rnacentral:rRNA from 1 species
AGUGAACGCUGGCGGUAGGCCUAACACAUGCAAGUCGAACGGCAGCACAGUAAGAGCUUGCUCUUACGGGUGGCGAGUGGCGGACGGGCGAGGAAUACAUCGGAACCUACUUUUUCGUGGGGGAUAACGUAGGGAAACUUACGCUAAUACCGCAUACGACCUACGGGUGAAAGCAGGGGAUCUUCGGACCUUGCGCGAUUGAAUGAGCCGAUGUCGGAUUAGCUAGUUGGCGGGGUAAAGGCCCACCAAGGCGACGAUCCGUAUCUGGUCUGAGAGGAUGAUCAGGCACACUGGAACUGAGACACGGUCCAGACUCCUACGCGAGGCAACAGUGGGGAAUGUUGGACAAUGGAGGCAAGCCUGAUCCAGCCAUACCGCGUGGGUGAAGAAGGCCUUCGGGUUGUAAAGCCCUUUUGUUGGGAAGGAAAAGCAGCAGGUUAAUACCCCGCUGUUCUGACGGUACCCAAAGAAUAAGCACCGGCUAACUUCGUG